rnacentral:ncRNA from 2 species
UUGAGCCGUGUGAGGUGGAAACUCUCACGCACGGUUCUUAGAGGGGGGAUUGGCGGCAACGCCGAUCUCCU